CAUUAAGUACAAAAGUCCUGAGGUUGUAGGCUGGAGUUUCUGAGGUCAGUGUGGCUGUAGUGAAGGGAACAAUGGGGAAAGGGAGAUGAGGUUAGGAGAGAAGUGGAGGCUAGAUUGUUGGAGUCUUGGGCAGCCAGUGGAGAGUUCUGAGCAGAAGUAACAUGGUCUAAUUUUUCUAUUCCUGUUUUGGGAACAGUCUGUGGAAAGGCAAGAGUGAAAUCACAAAGGCCAGUUAAGUGGCUACUGAAAUAAUUCAGAUAAGAAGCAGCAGAGUUUCUGACCAUCAUGGAGCAGUGGUGGUGGAUUACCAAACCAAUAACAAUGACCAGGCAGUAGUUGAAAUCUGUAUCACAAGAAUCACAACAGCCAUCAGAGAGACCGAGUCCAUUGAAAAGCAUGCAAAGGCCCUUGUGGGGCUCUGGGACUCCUGCUUGGAACAUAACCUGAGACCCUUUGGGAAAGAUGAAGACACUCCUCAUGCAAAAAUCGCAUCUGAUAUCAUGAGUUGCAUUUUACAGAAUUACAACCGACCCCCAGUGAUGGCAUUAGCCAUCCCCAUUGCAGUGAAAUUCCUCCACAGAGGCAACAAGGAACUGUGCAGGAAUAUGUCUAACUACCUGUCUCUGGCUGCAAUUACCAAGGCAGAUCUCCUGGCUGAUCACACAGAAGUUAUAGUAAAGAGCAUACUCCAAGGUAUGGUGUGAAAGUUGAGCUUGAGGACAUGUUUUAGGAGAUAUUUAAAAGUAUUUUCAUGAAGCAUUUAUGGUUUGUGGGAAGCA
rnacentral:sRNA from 1 species